rnacentral:rRNA from 2 species
UCCUGGCUCAGGACGAACGCUGGCGGCGUGCCUAAUACAUGCAAGUCGUACGCUUCUUUUUCCACCGGAGCUUGCUCCACCGGAAAAAGAAGAGUGGCGAACGGGUGAGUAACACGUGGGUAACCUGCCCAUCAGAAGGGGAUAACACUUGGAAACAGGUGCUAAUACCGUAUAACAAUCGAAACCGCAUGGUUUUGAUUUGAAAGGCGCUUUCGGGUGUCGCUGAUGGAUGGACCCGCGGUGCAUUAGCUAGUUGGUGAGGUAACGGCUCACCAAGGCCACGAUGCAUAGCCGACCUGAGAGGGUGAUCGGCCACAUUGGGACUGAGACACGGCCCAAACUCCUACGGGAGGCAGCAGUAGGGAAUCUUCGGCAAUGGACGAAAGUCUGACCGAGCAACGCCGCGUGAGUGAAGAAGGUUUUCGGAUCGUAAAACUCUGUUGUUAGAGAAGAACAAGGAUGAGAGUAACUGUUCAUCCCUUGACGGUAUCUAACCAGAAAGCCACGGCUAACUACGUGCCAGCAGCCGCGGUAAUACGUAGGUGGCAAGCGUUGUCCGGAUUUAUUGGGCGUAAAGCGAGCGCAGGCGGUUUCUUAAGUCUGAUGUGAAAGCCCCCGGCUCAACCGGGGAGGGUCAUUGGAAACUGGGAGACUUGAGUGCAGAAGAGGAGAGUGGAAUUCCAUGUGUAGCGGUGAAAUGCGUAGAUAUAUGGAGGAACACCAGUGGCGAAGGCGGCUCUCUGGUCUGUAACUGACGCUGAGGCUCGAAAGCGUGGGGAGCAAACAGGAUUAGAUACCCUGGUAGUCCACGCCGUAAACGAUGAGUGCUAAGUGUUGGAGGGUUUCCGCCCUUCAGUGCUGCAGCUAACGCAUUAAGCACUCCGCCUGGGGAGUACGACCGCAAGGUUGAAACUCAAAGGAAUUGACGGGGGCCCGCACAAGCGGUGGAGCAUGUGGUUUAAUUCGAAGCAACGCGAAGAACCUUACCAGGUCUUGACAUCCUUUGACCACUCUAGAGAUAGAGCUUCCCCUUCGGGGGCAAAGUGACAGGUGGUGCAUGGUUGUCGUCAGCUCGUGUCGUGAGAUGUUGGGUUAAGUCCCGCAACGAGCGCAACCCUUAUUGUUAGUUGCCAUCAUUUAGUUGGGCACUCUAGCAAGACUGCCGGUGACAAACCGGAGGAAGGUGGGGAUGACGUCAAAUCAUCAUGCCCCUUAUGACCUGGGCUACACACGUGCUACAAUGGGAAGUACAACGAGUCGCGAAGUCGCGAGGCUAAGCUAAUCUCUUAAAGCUUCUCUCAGUUCGGAUUGUAGGCUGCAACUCGCCUACAUGAAGCCGGAAUCGCUAGUAAUCGCGGAUCAGCACGCCGCGGUGAAUACGUUCCCGGGCCUUGUACACACCGCCCGUCACACCACGAGAGUUUGUAACACCCGAAGUCGGUGAGGUAACCUUUUGGAGCCAGCCGCCUAAGGUGGGAUAGAUGAUUGGGGUGAAGUCGUAACAAGGUAGCCGUAUCGGAAGGUGCGGCUGGAU